rnacentral:rRNA from 1 species
UGGGGAAUCUUGCGCAAUGGGCGAAAGCCUGACGCAGCCAUGCCGCGUGAAUGAUGAAGGUCUUAGGAUUGUAAAAUUCUUUCACCGGGGACGAUAAUGACGGUACCCGGAGAAGAAGCCCGGCUGAACUUCAGUGCCAGCCAGCCGCCGGGUAAUACGAAGGGGCGUAGCGUUGCUCGGAAUUACUGGGCGUAAAGGGCGCGUAGGCGGACAUUUAAGUCAGGGGUGAAAUCCCAGAGCUCAACUCUGGAACUGCCUUUGAUACUGGGUGUCUUGAGUGUGAGAGAGGUAUGUGGAACUCCGAGUGUAGAGGUGAAAUUCGUAGAUAUUCGGAAGAACACCAGUGGCGAAGGCGACAUACUUGGCCCGGUACUGACGCUGAGGUGCGAAGGCGUGGGGAGCAAAACA